rnacentral:rRNA from 1 species
AGUUCUUCCGUAGGUGAACUUGGGGAGGGUUCUUUACCCAAUAUGAAACCGGGCGGAACUCACCUAAGCAGAAUCUGCUGUUGGGGCCACCCUUGUGAAUUAUUCACCCGGGUCUUUGGCGUACUUCUUGUUCCCUGGGGGGGCUCGCCCACCACAAGGACAAACCAUAAACCUUUGGUAAUUGCAAUAAGCGUCAGUAACAAAAUAAUAAUUACAACUUUCAAAAACGGAUCUCUUGGUUCGGGAAUCGAUGAAAAACGCAGCAAAAUGCGAUAAGUAGUGUGAAUUGCAGAAUUCAGUGAAUCAUCGAAUCUUUGAACCCACAUUGCCCCCUUUGGUAUUCCAAAGGGCAUCCCUGUUCAAGCGUCAUUUGUACCCCCAAGCUUUGCUUGGUGUUGGGCGUCUUGUCUCCAGUUUGCGGGAGACUCCCCUUAAAGUCAUUGGCAGCCGGCCUACGGGUUUCGGAGCGCAGCACAAGUCGCGCUCUCUUCCAGCCAAGGUCAGCAUCCAUAAAGCCUUUUUCAACUUUUGACUCGGAGCAAGUACGGAUACCCGCUGAACUUAAGCAUAUCAAUAAGCCGGAGGAAUGUCCUUA